rnacentral:rRNA from 1 species
GACGAACGCUGACGGCGUGCUUAACACAUGCAAGUCGAACGGAAAGGCCCUGCUUUUGUGGGGUGCUCGAGUGGCGAACGGGUGAGUAACACGUGAGUAACCUGCCCUUGACUUUGGGAUAACUUCAGGAAACUGGGGCUAAUACCGGAUAGGAGCUCCUGCUGCAUGGUGGGGGUUGGAAAGUUUCGGCGGUUGGGGAUGGACUCGCGGCUUAUCAGCUUGUUGAUGGGGUAGUGGCUUACCAAGGCUUUGACGGGUAGCCGGCCUGAGAGGGUGACCGGCCACAUUGGGACUGAGAUACGGCCCAGACUCCUACGGGAGGCAGCAGUGGGGAAUAUUGCACAAUGGGCAGAAGCCUGAUGCAGCAACGCCGCGUGCGGGAUGACGGCCUUCGGGUUGUAAACCGCUUUCGCCUGUGACGAAGCGUGAGUGACGGUAAUGGGUAAAGAAGCACCGGCUAACUACGUG